rnacentral:rRNA from 1 species
AAGCGCUUAUGACCAGUCUUGGGCUCGGUGAAUCAUCCGGCGUUCUCGCCGGUGCACUUUGCCGGUCCAGGCCAGCAUCAGUUCGCGUCGGGGGACAAAGGCUUCGGGAAUGUGGCUCCCUCGGGAGUGUUAUAGCCCGUUGUGCAAUACCCUGGUGCGGACUGAGGUCCGCGCUUCUGCAAGGAUGCUGGCGUAAUGGUCAUCAGUGA